UACGGGGGGGGCAAGCGUUGUUCGGAAUUACUGGGCGUAAAGGGCUCGUAGGCGGCCAACUAAGUCCGACGUGAAAUCCCCAGGCUUAACCUGGGAACUGCGUCGGAUACUGGAUGGCUUGAAUCCGGGAGAGGGAUGCGGAAUUCCAGGUGUAGCGGUGAAAUGCGUAGAUAUCGUAAGGAAGACCAGUGGCGAAGGCGGGUCUCUGGACAGUUCCUGACGCUGAGGCACGAAGGCCAGGGGAGCAAACGGG
rnacentral:rRNA from 1 species